rnacentral:rRNA from 1 species
AAAUUGAAGAGUUUGAUCAUGGCUCAGAUUGAACGCUGGCGGCAGGCCUAACACAUGCAAGUCGAACGGUAACAGAAAGCAGCUUGCUGCUUUGCUGACGAGUGGCGGACGGGUGAGUAAUGUCUGGGAAACUGCCUGAUGGAGGGGGAUAACUACUGGAAACGGUAGCUAAUACCGCAUAAUGUCGCAAGACCAAAGAGGGGGACCUUCGGGCCUCUUG